rnacentral:rRNA from 1 species
CCUACGGGCGGCUGCAGUGGGGAAUAUUGCACAAUGGGCGCAAGCCUGAUGCAGCGACGCCGCGUGAGGGAUGACGGCCUUCGGGUUGUAAACCUCUUUUGUUAGGGAGCAAGCGUAAGUGAGUGUACCUUUCGAAUAAGCACCGGCUAACUACGUGCCAGCAGCCGCGGUAAUACGUAGGGUGCAAGCGUUAUCCGGAAUUAUUGGGCGUAAAGAGCUCGUAGGCGGCUUGUCGCGUCCGGUGUGAAAGUCCAUCGCUUAACGGUGGAUCUGCGCCGGGUACGGGCAGGCUAGAAUGCGGUAGGGGAGACUGGAAUUCCCGGUGUAACGGUGGAAUGUGUAGAUAUCGGGAAGAACACCAAUGGCGAAGGCAGGUCUCUGGGCCGUUAUUGACGCUGAGGAGCGAAAGCGUGGGGAGCGAACAGGCUUAGAUACCCGAGUAGUC